UGGUGGAGUGAUUUGUCUGGUUAAUUCCGUUAACGAACGAGACCUCGACCUGCUAAAUAGUUUGGCGAAUUCCCUGUGGAUUCGCACAUAACUUCUUAAAGGGACUAUCGGUUCGCAGCCGGUGGAAGUUCGAGGCAAUAACA
rnacentral:rRNA from 1 species